rnacentral:rRNA from 1 species
AGCGGUAACAGCUCAAAUUUGAAAUCUGGCCCUUUUAGGGUCCGAGUUGUAAUUUGUAGAAGAUGCUUUGGGUGUGGCUCCGGUCUAAGUUCCUUGGAACAGGACGUCAUAGAGGGUGAGAAUCCCGUAUGUGACUGGCGGCCUUCGCCCGUGUAAAGCUCUUUCGACGAGUCGAGUUGUUUGGGAAUGCAGCUCUAAAUGGGAGGUAUAUUUCUUCUAAAGCUAAAUACUGGCCAGAGACCGAUAGCGCACAAGUAGAGUGAUCGAAAGAUGAAAAGCACUUUGGAAAGAGAGUUAAACAGUACGUGAAAUUGUUGAAAGGGAAGCGCUUGCAACCAGACUUGCAUGCCGUCGAUCAUCGUGGGUUCUCCCGCGUGCACUCGGCGGCGUUCAGGCCAGCAUCGGUUCCGGUGGUUGGAUAAAGGCCUUGGGAAUGUGGCUCCUCUCGGGGAGUGUUAUAGCCCUCGGUGCAAUGCAGCCUACUGGGACCGAGGACCGCGCUUCGGCUAGGAUGCUGGCGUAAUGGUUGUAAGCGACCCGUCUUGAAACACGGACCAAGGAGUCUAACAUCUAUGCGAGUGUUAGGGUGUUAAACCCUUCCGCGAAAUUAACGUGAACGGAGGUACGAACCCUUUAGGGCGCAGUAUCGACCGGUCCUGAUGUCUUCGGAUGGAUCUGAGUAAGAGCAUAGCUGUUGGGACCCGAAAGAUGGUGAACUAUGCCUGAAUAGGGUGAAGCCAGAGGAAACUCUGGUGGAGGCUCGCAGCGGUUCUGACGUGCAAAUCGAUCGUCAAAUUAGGGCAUAGGGGCGAAAGACUAAUCGAACCAUC